CCCGAUUUGGGUGUAGCCGCACGAAGAGGCACCACGUUCCUUUCUUCCUCCUGACCCCGCGGCUAUCGGGCGGCGGCGGCAGCUGGACUAGGUGGUGGAAAGCACGAAUCUUACGGGAACUUCUGCAGGAGGUAACGCCUCGCUCGAACUGACCUUGCAGCAACAGGUUGUCGUCGUACAAGACCGCCCUUAUCCGGCCCCUCUUUCGUGCUUCACCGCCGACAAGGGUUACGAAAACCGCCAGGAAUAGGAGUGCGGUGAUCAAAGAUCAAACAAAGUGGGAUGCUUGCUUGAAGCUUUUUGUUGGUGGUGGGAUAAAUAUAUCUGGCGAUCAAGGGUGAUGAUGGCUUUGAUAUGUCAUGGAGGAAUUAGAACCAACCAUAUUUUCCUCAACCAAUCAGCUUUGUUCAUCCGGACAGUAGUGCUUUUUUUCGCACAUUGCAAGUUUCAAAGACUCGCAUUAAUGCUCAAGCAGAGAGCACCACUAGCACUCUGAAAGAGGCAUCAAUUCAAGCGACAACUAAAACAAGUGUAGAACAAAAAAUGCAGAAGCAUUUUUUUUUGUCAAUUUAACUCCUGUUAGUUUAAUACUGGUUACCUACUCUUUCACCAGCGUUAAUCUAGUCUUAACACUCUUUUAAGUC